rnacentral:lncRNA from 1 species
AAUAGAAGGACUGGAGCUCAACUUCUCCCCUAAGAACAACAAAAUUCACAACUAAAGGCUGAGCAAUCUUCACCCAAAUGGACCAGAAACCUUAAAAAAGAUAUCCUACUCCAGAAGAAAAAGGAGGAGGCCACAUCAACAGGUAGGAGAGGCAAUUUCAUGAUAUAAAUAACCCCAUACCUCCCCGGUGGGAAGCCCCAUGAACUGGAAACUAACUGGUUCACAGAGACUCACCUACAGGAGUGAGAGUUCUGAGCCACACAUCAAACUCUCACUUGUGUGGAUCUGGCACUGGGAGAAAGAGCCCAUGGAGCAUCUAGCAUUGAAGGCCAGUGGGGCUUGUGUGCAGGAGCUCCACGGGAUUGGGGGAAACAGAGACCUCAUUUUUAAAAGGCACACACAGAUGCUCACGUGCCCUGGGUCCCAGGGCAAAACAAAGUCUCCAUAGGAAUCUGUGUCAAACCUGACUGCAGUUCUUGGAGGACAUCCUGGGAAAAUAGGAGUGAAUGUGACUUGUUGUGAGGGAAGGACAUUGAAAGCAAAGCUCUCGGAAAUAUUCAGCAGCAUGCCUUUCUCUGGAGGUGGCCAUUUUGGGAAAACCUGGCCCCACCCGUCAGUCAGCUGCUGAGAAGCCCCAUACCAAAAAACAAUCCAGGUGGAAUCACAGCCCCACCGCUCACUAAAUAGGCUACCUAAAGACCCCUCAGGCACACAACUGCCUCCAGUCCCAUCCAGAGACUAAGCCCCACCCACCAGAGAGGCUAGAGUCAGCUCUACCUACCAGUAGGCAGGCAUCAGCCCCUCCCAUUAGGAAGCCUACAGCAAGCCCCAUACUGACUACAGCCACAGGGGGGCAGACAUCGGAACUAAGAGAGGCUACAACUCUAUUAUCUGUAAGAAGGUCACCACAUCAAAAACCUAUAAAAAUGAAAAGACAGAGAACUAUAACUCAGAUGAGGGAGAAAGGAAAACCCCAGAAAAUCAGCUAAGUGAUGAGGAGAUUCUCAGGCUCCAGGAAAAAGACUUUAGACUGUUGAUGCUGAAGAUGAUGCAAGGCAUUAGAAAUGGAUAACUUACAGGAAACACUGAGCAAAGAGAUACAAGAUAUAAAACUUAAACAAGAGAUGCAAAAAUACAAUAACUGAAGUAAAAAAUUCACUAGAAGUAGCUAACAGCAGAAUAAAGGAGGCAGAAGAAUGAAUAAGUGAGGUGGAGGACAGAUUAGUAUAAAUUAUGGAUGCAGAACAGAAAAGAGAAAAAAGAUUGAAAACAAAUGAAGAGAGACUCAGAGAACUCUGGGACAAUGUUAAAUGCACCAACAUCCAUAUCAUAGGUGUGCCAGAAGGAGAAGAGAGAGAGAAGGGGACAGAAAAAAUAUUCCAAGGGAUAAUAGCCAAAAACUUCCCUAACAUGGGAAAGGAACCACUCACUCAAAUCCAGGAACCACAAUGAGUACCAUAUAAAAUAAACUCUAGGAGGAAUACACCGAGACACAUAUUAAUCAAACUGACAAAAUUAAAGACAAAGAGAAAAUCUUGAAAGCAGCUAGGGAAAAGAAACAAAUAACAUACAAGGGAACCCCACUAUGGUUAUUGGCAGAUUUUUCAGCAGAAACUCUUCAGGCCAGAAGGGAGUGACAUGAUAUACUUACCGUGAUGAAUGGAAAAAAAUCUCUAACCAAGAUUACUUUACCCAGAAAGGCUCUCAUUCAGACUUGAAGGAGAAAUCAAAGCUUUACAGAUAAGCAAAAGCUAAGAGAAUUCAGCAACACUAAACCAGCUCUACAACACAUACUAAAGGAACUUCUCUAGGCAGAAAAGAAAAGGCUGCAACAGGAAACAAAAAUACCACAAAUGACAAGGCUCACCAGUAAAGGCAUAUAUACAGUAAAGAUAUGAAAUUGUCUAUGCACAAUUACGCUACCAAAAUCAGAAAUCAUGAGACGAGGUGGAUACAAAUGAAGGGCACUGGAGAUGCACUUGCAGUUAAGAAACCAACAACUUAAAACAUUCUCACAUAUAUACAGUCUCAUAUCAAAAAUUCAGGGUAACUGCAAACCAAAAAUCUACAAUUGAUCCACAAAGAAAAAAAAUCAACUCAAAUACAACGCUAAAGAUAAUCAUCAAACCAGAAGAGGAGA